GAUGAACGCUAGCGGCAGGCCUAAUACAUGCAAGUCGAACGGUUGGUAGCAAUACUGAUAGUGGCGCACGGGUGCGUAACACGUAGCUAACCUGCCCAUUCCUGGGGGAUAGCCCGCCGAAAGGCGGAUUAAUACCGCAUAAGAUUACAGAGUGGCAUCACUUCGUAAUUAAAGAUUUAUUGGGAAUGGAUGGGGCUGCGGGUCAUUAGCUGGUUGGUAAGGUAACGGCUUACCAAGGCGACGAUGACUAGGGGAGCUGAGAGGCUGGUCCCCCACACGGGCACUGGGAUACGGGCCAGACUCCUACGGGAGGCAGCAGUAGGGAAUAUUGGGCAAUGACCGAGAGGCUGACCCAGCCAUGCCGCGUGCAGGACGAAGGCUUUCUGAGUCGUAAACUGCUUUUGACAGGGAAGAAUAAGCUGCUCGAGAGCAGUGAUGACGGUACCUGCAGAAUAAGCACCGGCUAACUCCGUGCCAGCAGCCGCCGCCGUAA
rnacentral:rRNA from 1 species